AGGAUUCACAACCGGCUCACAGAAUUCCUGAAAAUUUAACAAUCCACUCUCAUGCGCCUGCUGCAGCCAUUUCCAGCCCACCUCUGUAGCUCUCUAAACAGCAGGGCCUCAUGGAUGAGACUAGAGAGGGGAGAUGUAGCUGGCUCUGUUUAAUUCUGUGAGGUCAAACCACACCUGGGAGGGUGUGUCUGGUUUCAAAGCCUACAUUGUAAGAGGAACAUAGGCACACUGAAAAUUGUUUGAUUUGGGCAAGAAGCAAUUUCGUCUGAAAAGCCCACCGGGAGACCUAUUGCUGGAAUGAGAAUCCAGGGGAAGAAAAACACAGGGUAUCCUGGCCAUUGUUUCCAAAUCUCUGUGGGGCUGUAAGGGCCCUGAGUGCACCUGAGAAUGCUGAAAAGAAAAGCCAAGUUCACGGACAAAAAAAGAAUCACCCAAGCUGCUUUCACCUGCCUGCGAUUUCCCAGGAAGCCAGUUUGUCUUUAAGAAGUGAGACCCAUUUGAGAAUGAGUAAUGUCUUAGGCUCUUUAGUCUAAUGCUUAGAGAAUUCCACUUUCUUCUUUCGCUCGGCCUCCCCCUGAGCUCCCCUU
rnacentral:lncRNA from 10 species